rnacentral:rRNA from 1 species
GAUGAACGCUAGCUACAGGCUUAACACAUGCAAGUCGAGGGGAAACGACAUCGAAAGCUUGCUUUUGAUGGGCGUCGACCGGCGCACGGGUGAGUAACGCGUAUCCAACCUGCCCAUCACUUGGGAAUAACCUUGCGAAAGUAAGACUAAUACCCAAUGAUAUCCCACGAAGGCAUCGGAAUGGGAUUAAAGAUUUAUCGGUGAUGGAUGGGGAUGCGUCUGAUUAGCUUGUUGGCGGGGUAACGGCCCACCAAGGCAACGAUCAGUAGGGGUUCUGAGAGGAAGGUCCCCCACAUUGGAACUGAGACACGGUCCAAACUCCUACGGGAGGCAGCAGUGAGGAAUAUUGGUCAAUGGGCGAGAGCCUGAACCAGCCAAGUAGCGUGCAGGAAGACGGCCCUAUGGGUUGUAAACUGCUUUUAUAAGGGAAUAAAGUGAGUCACGUGUGACUUUUUGCAUGUACCUUAUGAAUAAGGACCGGCUAAUUCCGUG